rnacentral:lncRNA from 1 species
AUACUAGGGAAGGCAUCGAGCUUGAGGAAGAGGCCCCAUUCAUCUCCGUACCCCAGGCCCUGGUACACAGCAGGCAGCUCCAGGCGGGCACGCAUCUUUGUUGUGUUCUCUGCUGACUAUAUCCUCAGCACCUAGAACUGUGUCUGUCACCUAAUAGAUGCUCAAUAAACCUGCCAGUAAUUUCAGCAAAUGAAACGUGGAACACGUCAAGGCCAGAGGAUGGAAAAGGCUCCAGUUUUGAUAAAAGGAGGCCUGCUUGGCUUGGAAUCCUCUCUCCUGCUGGUUGGGAGAUGCAAAGAUGUUUCCAGAGAGGGGCUGAUGAAUUGAGGGGAAAGAAAUGAGCCCAGUAUGAGUCCCCUUUCAGGGCUGAGCGUGUAUAAAACCAAACAACUUGGAACCGCUCCAAGAGAGGGGAUUAAAGCAACAUGUUAUUCUGAGUGAUUGCUUAAUUUAUUGAGCUGCGGCUGGAUCUGUAAUGAAAUACAGCCCUUGUAACUGAUAACCUCCUGCUGCCAUUGAACUUCUACAAUUAAGGAAUAUUUUCUGAGUUUCUCUGGAACGGCUCUGAAUUUUUAGCCUCUGUGGUAGGGUGCUUCUGAACAUUUGUUUUCCAGGCAAUUUUUUUUGAGUAUUAGGCUGAUGUUAAUAAAUAAGCAGCAUUUUAUUGA